GACGAACUGCCCAAACGUUGUUCGGAAUCACUGGGCCUAAAGGGCGCGUAGGCGGCGAUUCAAGUCAGGGGUGAAAUCCGGCAGCUCAACUGUCGAAGUGCCUUUGAUACUGAAUUGCUCGAGGGAGGUAGGGGUCUGUGGAACUUCUGGUGGAGCGGUGAAAUGCGUUGAUAUCAGAAGGAACGCCGGUGGCGAAAGCGACGGACUGGACCUUUUCUGACGCUGAGGCGCGAAAGCUAGGGGAGCAAACGGG
rnacentral:rRNA from 1 species